rnacentral:rRNA from 1 species
UACGAAGGGGGCUAGCGUUGUUCGGAAUCACUGGGCGUAAAGCGCACGUAGGCGGAUGUGCCAGUCAGGGGUGAAAUCCCGGAGCUCAACUCCAGAACUGCCUUUGAUACUGGCAACCUUGAGUCCGGGAGAGGUGAGUGGAACUGCGAGUGUAGAGGUGAAAUUCGUAGAUAUUCGCAAGAACACCAGUGGCGAAGGCGGCUCACUGGCCCGGUACUGACGCUGAGGUGCGAAAGCGUGGGGAGCAAACAGG